AGCUACAUACCGCGAUACGCUAGUGUGAGUGAAGAGAAGUUUCGGCGAAGUGGAUGAUGCUUGUCGUCUGAUUGAUGCUAGUUGGUGUGGUAAUUGGGACACCAAGGCGACCCAUCAGCAGCUGGUCGUGAUGAGGAUGGACCAGGCCACAGUUGGAACUGAGACACUGGUCCAAAACUCCAUACGGGAGUGCAGCAGUGGGGAAUUUUCCGCAAUGGACGCAAGUCUGACGGAGCGACGCUGCGUGAAGGAUGACGGCCCGCGGGUUGUAAAACUUCUUUUCUCGAAGAAGAAACAAAUGACGGUAUUCGAGGAAUAAGCACUCGGCUAACUCCGUGCCAGCAGCCGCUGGUAAGACGGAGGAUGCAAGUGUUAUUCGGAAUGAUUGGGCGUAAAGAGUCUGUAGGCCGUAUAGAAAGUCUUUAUGUUAAAUGCCUCGGCUCAACCGAGAUCCAGCCAAAGGAAACUUCUAUACUUAGAGGGAAGUAGAGGUACAGGGAAUUCCCGGUGGAGCGGUGAAAUGCGUAGAUA
rnacentral:rRNA from 1 species